AUGGAACGCUGGCGGCAGGCCUAACAAAUGAACGUCGAACGAGUGGCGGACGGGUGAGUACUGUCUGGGAAACUGCCUGAUGGAGGGGGAUAACUACUGGAAACGGUAGCUAAUAACGCAUACCAUCAGAUGUGCCCAGAUGGGAUUGGCUUGUUGGUGGGGUAAAGGCUCAACAAGGCGACGAUCACUAGCAUGUCUGAGAGGCUGCCCAGCCACACUGGAACUGAGACACGGUCCAGAUUCCUCCGGGAGGAAGCAGUGGGGAAUAUUGCAAAAGUGGCGCAAGCCUGAUGCAGCCAUGCCGAGUGUAUGAAGAAGGCCGUCGGGUUGUAAAGUACUUUCAGCGGGGAGGCGUUACCCGCAGAAUAAGCACCGGCUAACUCCGUGCCAGCAGCCGCGGUAAUAC
rnacentral:rRNA from 1 species